rnacentral:rRNA from 1 species
AAGACUGCCCUAUGGGUUGUAAACUGCUUUUAUAUAGGAAGAACUACAGAUACGUGUAUUUGUUUGACGGUACUAUACGAAUAAGGACCGGCUAACUCCGUGCCAGCAGCCGCGGUAAUACGGAGGGUCCAAGCGUUAUCCGGAUUUAUUGGGUUUAAAGGGUCCGUAGGCGGGUCAUUAAGUCAGUGGUGAAAUCCUACAGCUCAACUGUAGAACUGCCAUUGAAACUGAUGACCUUGAAUAUAAUUGAAGUGGGCGGAAUGUGUCAUGUAGCGGUGAAAUGCUUAGAUAUGACACAGAACACCGAUUGCGAAGGCAGCUCACUAAGUUAUUAUUGACGCUGAGGGACGAAAGCGUGGGUAGCGAACAGGAUUAGAUACCCUGGUAGUCCACGCCGUAAACGAUGUAUACUCGUUGCUAGCGAUACACAGUUAGUGACCAAGCGAAAGUAUUAAGUAUACCACCUGGGGAGUACGAUCGCAAGAUUGAAACUCAAAGGAAUUGACGGGGGCCCGCACAAGCGGUGGAGCAUGUGGUUUAAUUCGAUGAUA